rnacentral:rRNA from 1 species
CCUGCCCACUGGUUAAAUUCUAAAGGGCCGCGGUAUUUUGACCGUGCGAAGGUAGCAUAGUCAAUAGUCUUUUAAUUGGAGGCUGGAAUGAAUGGUUGCACGAGAAGUAAGCUGUCUCUUUUUUUUAAAUGAAUUUUACUUUUAAGUGAAAAGGCUUAAAUAAACUGAAGGGACGAUAAGACCCUAUAAAACUUUACAGUUUGCUUUUGUUUUAUAAAUUUAUGGUUUAACUUGGGUUAAAAGCACUAUUGUUGGGUUGGGGCGACUAUUAUAUAAUUUUUUUAUAACUGUAAUUUAAAGUAAUAAAUUUAUUUAGUUAAUUGAUCCUUUAAUAAAGAUUAAAAGAUUAAGUUACUUUAGGGAUAA